GAUCCCAAUUCCGAGCUAAAACGCUCGACAUUGCUAGAUAUUCGGGAUUGCUCGUCCCUUCGACGGAACACCCGGGAUCGACCCCCCGUGGACGCAUUCUUUUCUCCCCCUUUCUCCUCUUCUCAGCGACACCUUAUAACAGAAGCACGAGGGAUUUGCCUCCCAGGUCCCAGCCACGCAGAAGUUCCUCCGUCGACGGCGGCGGCGCAGCUGCAGGUCGACGACGACGACGACACCGACCCGGCGGCCACCGGCCGGCCGGUGCAGGUGGCUCAGCCCUCCUCCACUGUACGGCGCCAGGAUCAGCAGGGCAGCAGCAGCAGCCGGGUGCCCGGGUCAAGCCCCUCCUACUCAGAGUCAGUAGCCGGCAGCCCAGAACUGAAGGGCCUCGAUUAGAAGACGUCGAACUGCAGGAGGUUGUAAUUUUGCUCUUUGGUUACGUGCUUGCUUUUAUAUUCCUAAAUUGUGAUUAGCAGCAAACUAUUCUAGUAUUGCUUACGAGGAUCUAAAACAGGCAGCUGUACUGAAUUAUUCUGCUCCCAAGAUUUGUCUUGUCAACUGAGAAUUGCUCUUUGUUUCAGACUUUGUAAUACUGCGUAUGAGACUGUAAUGUGUAAAGAUGGUUAUGUUUCAGACUCCAUAUUAUGUUGAUGUGAUCAUUGUGGUGGAUUAUGCAUGCCACUUGCUAUUA